rnacentral:rRNA from 1 species
UACCGGCACCCCGAGUGGUCGGGACGUUUAUUGGGCCUAAAGCAUCCGUAGCCGGUUCUACAAGUCUUCCGUUAAAUCCACCUGCUUAACAGAUGGGCUGCGGAAGAUACUAUAGAGUUAGGAGGCGGGAGAGGCAAGCGGUACUCGAUGGGUAGGGGUAAAAUCCGUAGAUAUUCGAAGGAACACCGGUGGCGAAGGCGGCUAUCUGGACCGAUACUGACGCUGAGACGCGAAAGCGUGGGGAGCAAACAGG